GCCCCGGUAAACGGCGGCCGUAACUAUAACGGUCCUAAGGUAGCGAAAUUCCUUGUCGGGUAAGUUCCGACCUGCACGAAUGGCGUAAUGAUGGCCAGGCUGUCUCCACCCGAGACUCAGUGAAAUUGAACUCGCUGUGAAGAUGCAGUGUACCCGCGGCAAGACGGAAAGACCCCGUGAACCUUUACUAUAGCUUGACACUGAACAUUGAGCCUUGAUGUGUAGGAUAGGUGGGAGGCUUUGAAGUGUGGACGCCAGUCUGCAUGGAGCCGACCUUGAAAUACCACCCUUUAAUGUUUGAUGUUCUAACGUUGGCCCGUAAUCCGGGUUGCGGACAGUGUCUGGUGGGUAGUUUGACUGGGGCGGUCUCCUCCUAAAGAGUAACGGAGGAGCACGAAGGUUGGCUAAUCCUGGUCGGACAUCAGGAGGUUAGUGCAAUGGCAUAAGCCAGCUUGACUGCGAGCGUGACGGCGCGAGCAGGUGCGAAAGCAGGUCAUAGUGAUCCGGUGGUUCUGAAUGGAAGGGCCAUCGCUCAACGGAUAAAAGGUACUCCGGGGAUAACAGGCUGAUACCGCCCAAGAGUUCAUAUCGACGGCGGUGUUUGGCACCUCGAUGUCGGCUCAUCACAUCCUGGGGCUGAAGUAGGUCCCAAGGGUAUGGCUGUUCGCCAUUUAAAGUGGUACGCGAGCUGGGUUUAGAACGUCGUGAGACAGUUCGGUCCCUAUCUGCCGUGGGCGCUGGAGAACUGAGGGGGGCUGCUCCUAGUACGAGAGGACCGGAGUGGACGCAUCACUGGUGUUCGGGUUGUCAUGCCAAUGGCACUGCCCGGUAGCUAAAUGCGGAAGAGAUAAGUGCUGAAAGCAUCUAAGCACGAAACUUGCCCCGAGAUGAGUUCUCCCUGACUCCUUGAGGGUCCUGAAGGAACGUUGAAGACGACGACGUUGAUAG
rnacentral:rRNA from 1 species